rnacentral:lncRNA from 1 species
GGGAGAAUAAGUUGACUAGGGAAGUGGCUCUCAAACUUGAGGGCACAUCAGCAUCACCUGGAGGGCUUGAUAAAGCAGACUGGCAGGCCCUGCCUUCUGAGUUUUUAAUUCAGGAGGUCUGGAGCCUGAGAAUUUGCUUUUCUAACAAGUUCCUGGUGUGAUGUGGUUUGGCUCUUCUCACUUUCCUUCUGCUGCCUUGUGAAGAAAGUGCCUGUUUCUCCUUUGCCUUCCACCAUAAUUGCUUUUCCAAAAUGUGAGGCAUAUGGAAAAUUCAGGCAACACCCUGUUACUUAUUCAUCACUUAAGCCAUGUUUUGGCUCAGAAGAUACCAAGCAAAGCUGAAUAUUACUGUAUUUCAGAAAGAGGAGUAUUUCUUCAGUGCUCAUCUGUCCAUGGUGGCAUCAUGGAAGCUUAA